UCAUAGUAUACACAAGAAAAGGUUAGAAGGAAAAACACACCAAAAAAAUGGCGAAAUUAUUCUUUCUUCAUAUUUUCACUCUCGCGUUGAUAUUUUCAGGUAGGUACAUAAUUUAUCAAAUUUUGUCAAGAAUCGCUACAUUACAUUGAAAUAAUUAGAAUGAAUAGAAGACGUCCAAAAUAUAUUGUAUACUCCAUUCAUAUGCUUUGUAAAAUCUUCCUUUUAACUUGUGUAUUAAUCUGGUGAUUCUAUGAUGUUUGAGUUGCAGGGAUGAUAGGAACUCAACAAACUGAUGCUCAAGUGAAAAGAUGCGAAAAAACACUCUAUUCAGGAUGCACAUUGGAACAUUGCGGACAAAAGUGCACUGAUAAGUAUCCCAGGGUCGUCGGAGCGACGUGCAAUCCUAGUGGAGAUACAACUCUUUGUACCUGUAUUUGGGAAUGUUGAUUCAUAUCUACUCCCCAGAAUGUAUUAGUGGCCAAUAAUAAUAAUAAUAAUAACAACGAUAAGUAAAUUUAAAGACGUGAUAAAUUUA
rnacentral:lncRNA from 1 species